AGAACGAACGCUGGCGGCAGGCUUAACACAUGCAAGUCGAGCGCUCGUAGCAAUACGGGAGUGGCAGACGGGUGAGUAACGCGUGGGAACAUACCCUCCGGUUCGGAAUAGCUCAGGGAAACUUGGAUUAAUACCGGAUACGGCUGAGAGGCGAAAGAUUUAUCGCCGGAGGAUUGGCCCGCGUUCGAUUAGCUUGUUGGUGAGGUAACGGCUCACCAAGGCGAUGAUCGAUAGCUGGUCUGAGAGGAUGAUCAGCCACAUUGGGACUGAGACACGGCCCAAACUCCUACGGGAGGCAGCAGUGGGGAAUAUUGGACAAUGGGCGCAAGCCUGAUCCAGCCAUGCCGCGUGAGUGAUGACGGCCUUAGGGUUGUAAAGCUCUUUCGCUCGGGACGAUAAUGACGGUACCGAGAUAAGAAGCCCGGCUAACUUCGUGCCAGCAGCCGC
rnacentral:rRNA from 1 species